rnacentral:snoRNA from 1 species
UUUCCACUAUAGACGCAAGAAAAAGAAGGUCCUUAUGCUUUCUGUCUGUCUGGUUGUGGCAGCCAAGAUUGAAUGAGGGAAUAUAGGA